rnacentral:rRNA from 1 species
UGGGGAAUAUUGCACAAUGGGCGCAAGCCUGAUGCAGCCAUGCCGCGUGUGUGAAGAAGGCCUUCGGGUUGUAAAGCACUUUCAGCGAGGAGGAAGGCAUUAAGGUUAAUAACCUUAGUGAUUGACGUUACUCGCAGAAGAAGCACCGGCUAACUCCGUGCCAGCAGCCGCGGUAAUACGGAGGGUGCAAGCGUUAAUCGGAAUUACUGGGCGUAAAGCGCACGCAGGCGGUUUGUUAAGUCAGAUGUGAAAUCCCCGAGCUUAACUUGGGAACUGCAUUUGAAACUGGCAAGCUAGAGUCUUGUAGAGGGGAGUAGAAUUCCAGGUGUAGCGGUGAAAUGCGUAGAGAUCUGGAGGAAUACCGGUGGCGAAGGCGGCCCCCCUGGACAAAGACUGACGCUCAGGUGCGAAAGCGUGGGGCAGCAAACAGGAUUAGAUACCCUGGUAGUCCAGCGCUGUAAACGAUGUCG